CUAAUAAGAGCGUUGAAGAGCACACAGACGAUGAGGAGUUUUGUCACUGUGAAGAGGGUGAUGAUUGUGGUCGCACUCGUCAAUGACCUGAAAGAAAGGAAGAAAGGAAGAAAGGAAGAAAGGAAGAAAGAAAUGCUGAUGUAAACUAUUAAUAUAUUCACAUAAUCCUUCUAGAAUUAACUGUACACAGAGAUAUGAACAAUAUUCAGCUUUUGAUGUGAUUGUUGCACCACAUUGACACGGUAUCGCUGGUCUCUGGGGACUUCAGACAGCAAAACAAAUAUCAAAAAUCCCUUGCAAGAUAAGUAAUGAUGCUGAUCUGUCGCCAGAUCACUGUUCCUUCAAAUAUCCUGGCUACUUUUUUAGUUUUUAUGUAUUUUUUUUCUUCCUGUAUGUAUUUUGCACUAGUUUUAUGGGGGGGCAUCUCUUCUCUUCUAAGGUUAGACCGGUUUCUGGAAAAAAUGCUGUUCCACUGUCAAAGCAGGGGUCUCUGUGAGACAAUUUCCUUAGAAAUUUGGUUAUGUAGAAUAAUCUCUUUGUGAUGCUAAUCUAAACAGGACUAG